GAUGAACGCUGGCGGCGUGCCUAAUACAUGCAAGUCGAGCGAACAGACGAGGAGCUUGCUCCUCUGACGUUAGCGGCGGACGGGUGAGUAACACGUGGAUAACCUACCUAUAAGACUGGGAUAACUUCGGGAAACCGGAGCUAAUACCGGAUAAUAUAUUGAACCGCAUGGUUCAAUAGUGAAAGACGGUUUUGCUGUCACUUAUAGAUGGAUCCGCGCCGCAUUAGCUAGUUGGUAAGGUAACGGCUUACCAAGGCAACGAUGGGUAGCCGACCUGAGAGGGUGAUCGGCCACACUGGAACUGAGACACGGUCCAGACUCCUACGAGAGGCAGCAGUAGGGAAUCUUCCGCAAUGGGUGAAAGCCUGACGGAGCAACGCCGCGUGAGUGAUGAAGGUCUUCGGAUCGUAAAACUCUGUUAUUAGGGAAGAACAAAUGUGUAAGUAACUAUGCACGUCUUGACGGUACCUAAUCAGAAAGCCACGGCUAACUACGUG
rnacentral:rRNA from 1 species